UUAACGGCCGCGGUACCCUAACCGUGCGAAGGUAGCAUAAUCACUUGUUUCUUAAAUAGGGACUAGUAUCAAUGGCAUCACGAAGACUACACUGUCUCCUCCCUAAAAUCAAUGAAACUGAUCCCCUCGUGAAGAAGCGAGGAUAUAAACAUAAGACGAGAAGACCCCAUGGAGCUUUAAACGAACCUCAAUUGCCCCCUCCCCAUCAUAGAAAUUGAGCAUUAAUGACGGUAGUUUUCGGUUGGGGUGACCGCGGAGUAAAACAAAACCUCCACAAUGAAUGUAAUAAUACUAAUAAAAGAACCACAAUUCUAAUAAUCAAAAAAUUGACAUAAUUGACCCAAACACUUGAUCAAUGAACCAAGUUACCCUGGGGAUAACAGCGCAAUCCAUUUUAAGAGCCCCUAUCGACAAAUGGGUUUACGACCUCGAUGUUGGAUCAGGGUAUCCUAGUGGUGCAGUCG
rnacentral:rRNA from 1 species